GGAUAUGAGCCUCUAUCGCAUGGUGGGGGUUGGAAAGAUUUUUUGGUCUGGGAUGGGCUCGCGGCCUAUCAGCUUGUUGGUGAGGUAAUGGCUCACCAAGGCGUCGACGGGUAGCCGGCCUGAGAGGGUGACCGGCCACACUGGGACUGAGACACGGCCCAGACUCCUACGGGAGGCAGCAGUGGGGAAUAUUGCACAAUGGGCGAAAGCCUGAUGCAGCAACGCCGCGUGAGGGAUGACGGCCUUCGGGUUGUAAACCUCUUUUAGCAGGGAAGAAGCGAAAGUGACGGUACCUGCAGAAAAAGCGCCGGCUAACUACGUGCCAGCAGCCGCGGUAAUACGUAGGGCGCAAGCGUUAUCCGGAAUUAUUGGGCGUAAAGAGCUCGUAGGCGGUUUGUCGCGUCUGCUGUGAAAUCCCGAGGCUCAACCUCGGGCCUGCAGUGGGUACGGGCAGACUAGAGUGCGGUAGGGGAGAUUGGAAUUCCUGGUGUAGCGGUGGAAUGCGCAGAUAUCAGGAGGAACACCGAUGGCGAAGGCAGAUCUCUGGGCCGUAACUGACGCUGAGGAGCGAAAGGGUGGGGAGCAAACAGGCUUAGAUACCCUGGUAGUCCACCCCGUAAACGUUGGGAACUAGUUGUGGGG
rnacentral:rRNA from 1 species